GACAACAGUAGGACAGGAGCCGCGUUAAUACGGGGGGGUGAAGCGUUAAUCUGAAUGACUGGGCGGAAUGCGCGCGUAGGCGGGUGUUUAAGUCGAUCGGGAAAGCCCUGGGCUUAACGUGGGAAGUGCGGUCGAGACUGAAUACCUAGAGGAUGGUAGAGGAUAGUGGAAUUCCCGGUGUAGCAGUGAAAUGCGUAGAUAUCGGGAGGAACACCAGUGGCGAAGGCGACUAUCUGGACCAAUACUGACGCUGAGGAGCGAAAGCGUGGGGAGCAAACAGGAUUAGAUACCCCAGUAGUC
rnacentral:rRNA from 1 species